GGACGACCGCUGGCGGCGUGCUUACCACCUGCAAGUCGAACGGAAAGGCCCUGCUUUUGUGGGGUGCUCGAGUGGCGAACGGGUGAGUAACACGUGAGUAACCUGCCCUUGACUUUGGGAUAACUUCAGGAAACUGGGGCUAAUACCGGAUAGGAGCUCCUGCUGCAUGGUGGGGGUUGGAAAGUUUCGGCGGUUGGGGAUGGACUCGCGGCUUAUCAGCUUGUUGGUGGGGUAGUGGCUUACCAAGGCUUUGACGGGUAGCCGGCCGGAGAGGGUGACCGGCCACAUUGGGACUGAGAUACGGCCCAGACUCCUACGGGAGGCAGCAGUGGGGAAUAUUGCACAAUGGGCGGAAGCCUGAUGCAGCAACGCCGCGUGCGGGAUGACGGCCUUCGGGUUGUAAACCGCUUUCGCCUGUGACGAAGCGUGAGUGACGGUAAUGGGUAAAGAAGCACCGGCUAACUACGUG
rnacentral:rRNA from 1 species